UCCGAUGCCACUCCUACACUUAGCAAAAGACGCAUAAUUUUUAUUUCCUCGUGUCCACCAUAUAGGGAGUCAUCAUAUCAAUGUAAUACGCAUUAAAUAUAAAAUGGGGAUACACCUUUACAUACAUUACAAUCUCUUUAUUAUUCUAAAGGACAAUACAAGUUUUAAGAAACUUAUUUCCAUCAAUCACUAACACCAUUAUAUGACACAUUCGAGCCCGACGUAAAGGGAGUCGUAAAUAAAACAAACUAAUUCUCUUAUAAAACACGCGAUAGUAAGUAAUAGAGAUACCUUAGCGCUUAAGACACUCGUAGUCUUAUAACUAAAAUUCUAUAAAGAGUAUAAUACGAACACAAUGGAAAGGACAGAAAGAGAAAAUGAAAAGGCAGUGAGACACAGAUAUUUUUCAGAUGUAGAAAAGCAGCGUGACACAGAUAUUCCAAAGAGGGAAAGAGGAAGUGGAAAGGAGCGAGAAACAGAAGACGCGGGAUGGAACACUCCGCACGGCUGGAAAUUCUCUUCCCACCAUACACGGAUGCUGCGCUUCUCACCAUGACUGACAACGGCAUUAUCCCCACCACGGUUCACGGCGGCGGUACCUCCACCAGUCUCGGCAGCGGCGGCAUCCCGAGCCGUCUACCGCAGUUCAAUAGAAUAUAUAAGCCGUGCAGAAUGGUUAUUCUGUCUUUUACUUCUCGGAGGUUACCUUCCCUAAAACCUCAAAGUUAUACUUUCGUUAGAGGUGCGUACGACUCGCACGAGCGGAAGAUAACUUCCUACCAAACCUUCUUACUAUUCAGCCUUAAAACCUCAAAGUUAUACUUUCGUUAGCGGUGCGUACGGCUCGCACGAAUGAAUCUUUAUCCUUUCUCCUGAAAUCCUCACGUAUGCCGAGAACGCGUCGUGUCGAUAGGAAGUAUCAUUUGUGCCGGCUUCUCGUGACGUUACAUGAUAUCCAUAUGUACUUCACCUCGGGAUCUAUGGCAACAAGAAAGCGAGCAAGGAAAACGAGGGACCUUACCGCCUCAUUUCGAUUACGUUCAACAGGAAGCCUGUAUCAAUAGUUCAUUUACCACCCCAUGACCCGCGAACACCCAGAUAUUUGAAAAUCGAAGCCGAAUUUAUGGAGAUCGCGAAACAAGGUAAAUGCAUCCUAUAAUUUUUGAAGUGCCGUGUCUCUAAUCAUUCUGUGUGCUUGUGUACCAAUCCCGAACCAAGAACUGCACAUAGCAGAUAAAGUCCAAAAAGGUACUAAUCUCACGACAGGUAGAAGCUUCUCGAAAAACUUCUUUGUAAUAUUUUUUUUUG